GCCAUUCUCUAAUCUUGAGUACCCAGGGACACGAUACACUGCGGAAGGCUGCAGGGACCUCUGCCCAGGAAAGCCAGGAGCCAGAAAAACUUCAUCUCUUUUACAAGAAACAUUGAGAUUCCUGUAAAAUUAAGAAAUCACACAAUUUGAUGGUCUACAUUAUCUAAAGCAAAUGAGACUUCUAUUUGGAACAAAGACUACCUUGUUGGGAAAUGAGUCUGCAAGUUAAAGUGUUUUCUGGGAUCACUCUAAGCUCCAGUGUCAAGGAGUCAAGUCCUUCAGGAAUUCUCUGCCUCCACUCCCUGUGGCAGAGCUAGAGUGGCUGCCAUGCUUCUGAGCUCAGCCAGCAUCCAGAGAGAGAGUGAGAUACAGCCUCCUCUUCUUGAAGCACCCACUUCUAAACUCUGUGACAGUUUUCUUGGAACUCUGUUAUGUGGAUCUGGAGAUGACAAUGUCACAGCACUCCCCUCUAAGCCUAAAUUCCCCCACACCGAUGAACUAUUAGGAUCCAGUAUCUGCCGGAGGAGCCCCACCUUCUGCUACUAUUAUGUUCUUCAGAUGAGUAGAAGAGAGUGGGGAGGGAGAGAGCAGGAAGAAGAAAGGAAGAAUAAUGUCUUGAAAUUGAGCUCAGAUGGAAAAGAAUGGUGUUACUGAGACCCUUCAAGAUUCCCAGUGUAAUUCAAUAAAGAAAAGGCAACACAAAGGGGUUGUAUAGAAUUCGCCACAUUAUGGACCCAUGUCAUAGAGAGAAUCCACGGUGCAUUUGUUAGCUGCAUUUAAAUGACAACACUUUCAGAUCCAAGAUUUAUUUGGGAUAAAAAUUUACCUGGAUGCAAGGCUAUUCAGAAUGAAGAUUAAUGAUAUGGUUUGGCUGUGUCCCCACCCAAACUUCAUCUUGAAUUCCCACGUGUUGUGAGAGGGACCUGGUGGGAGAUAAUUGAACCAUGGGGGCAGGUCUUUCUCAUGCUGUUCUCAUGAGAGUGAAUAAGUCUCAUGAAACCUGAUGGUUUUAUAAGGGGGAAUUUCCCUGCACAAGCUCUCUCUCUGCCUUUUGCCAUCCAUGUAAGACGUGACUUGGUCCUCCUUGCCUUCUACCAUGAUUAUGAGGCCUCCCCAGCCACGUGGAACUGUGAGUCCAUUAAACCUCUUUCUUUUGUAAA
rnacentral:lncRNA from 1 species